rnacentral:rRNA from 1 species
GUCCUUUUGAUUAUAAUUUAAGGUCUGACCUGCCCACUGAAAUUAUUUUAAAUGGCCGCAGUAAUUUGACUGUGCAAAGGUAGCAUAAUCAUUAGUUUUUUAAUUAAAAGCUUGUAUGAAGGGUUGGACGAGAUAAAAUCUGUCUCUAUUUAAUUUAUUAUAAAAUUUAAUUUUUAAGUUAAAAAGCUUAAAUUUUUUUAAAAGACGAGAAGACCCUAUAGAUCUUUAUAGUUUUGAUUUUGAAUUUAAUUAAUAAAUUUUUAGGGUUUAUGAUUUAAACUAUUUUAUUGGGGUAAUAGAAAGAUUAAAAUAAUUCUUUUUUUCUUUAAACAUUUAUUUAUGUUUUUAAUGAUCCAAUUUUAUUGAUUAUAAGAUUAAGUUACCUUAGGGAUAACAGCGUAAUUUUUUUAGAGAGUUCUUAUCGAUAAAAAAGUUUGCGACCUCGAUGUUGGAUUAAAGAUUAGUUUAGGUGUAGAAGUUUAAAUUUUUGGUCUGUUCGACCAUUAAAUCUUUACAUGAUCUGAGUUCAGACCGGCGUAAGCCAGGUCGGUUUCUAUCUUUAAUAAUUUUAAAAUAUUUUAGUACGAAAGGACCAAAUAUUUAAUAUAUUUAUAUUUAAUUUUUUGAAUAUUAUU